UAGGUCUCACUGGUUUGAUCCAUGGCCUGAAAUCUGACCACUAUUGCCGUUUUGUUUAAAAUAGGAGCGAAUAAGUUGUUUCAUAAAGUCACAACCUAGGACUGAUAUUGACCUCUUAUUUAUCCACCAGAGCGUGAAAUGGGACGAUCCCCCGGAUGACCAAAAUAAAGUCGUGGAGAACAUGAAGGAUGAAACAGAGACACAUGAGACCAACAAGAACAGGACAGGAGGCAAGGCUAAACGUAAGUCCAGUGGCGGUGCCAAGAAGACUUCCGUGGAGGAGGACAGCAGCAUUGGUGCAGAGUCUUCUCAGACACCCGGGUGUGGUUUCCGGGAAAGGGGAUCUA